UCCUCAAACCCUUUACCUUCAAAAUUUUAGUUUCCCUCCUAUCACUCUCAAACAUCAUACCUAAUUCAUCCUCAAACCGCACAACAAACCUAAUUUCCGGUGAUCAUUAUGUGGUUCAGUCGCCAGAAGCGUUCAAUCGCGGUGACCUUCGGUUCAAUAGCUGGGUUCAAUCGGCGUGUAAGAGUGGUUCCAUCGCCCUGGUUAAGUACUGUUCUUCAAUCGAUUUGACUUCUACGUUUUCAAUAAGGUUAUAUAAUGCAUAAUUUUUGGUUUUAUUUGAAUGAUUGUAAAUUAUUAAUGGGUGUUCCAUGUUUGAUAGUGAUAUAGCUCUUUGUAUCUGCCAUUUCUUGUCUUUGAAUGUUUUUUUAAUGUUUGUUUUGUAAAUGAUUUGAUUUGUAGAUUUUUGGUAUUCUUACACACUCGUUUAAUUGUUGCAAGGAGAAAAUAAAGGGUUUUAUGUAUGCAAGAAGAAGAUGGUAACUUCCCCAGAAACAUUUUGUGGAUUCUGGCCUGCCCCAUUUCGAAAUUAUCUGGAAUACGUUGUUAAUCUGGAAUACGCAACGUAUAUUUCUUUUCUUUUUUAAUGGGAUACUUGGUCUGGAUCCGGAUAUUAGAUCAAUCAAUACCGAUGGUGCUCAGAAGGACACAAGCGAGGAAGAUUGACAAUGGAUCAAGAAGAUGAUCAACAGCCAAAUGAGAAGAUCCGCAUGGGGAUGCCUGUAACUCAGUGGAUAACUGUAUAUAAUGCUCACCUCCUAAUGAAAUAGAGAUAUCACUGUGAUGUGGCAGAUCAAAGACUUGCUCAAUAUAUUGACAAAGGAAACGAAGAUGGGUUGCUUAUCAGCAGUGUGGCUUCUUGUUCAAACCUAUGGGCUCUUAUAAUGGAUUCUGGCACUGUAUCACCUCUCAAGUUUACCAACUCUCUCCCUCAUUUCUCAACAAGGUACCAAAUACAUUCAGCAGUAUUACAAAGUCAGUGAAUCAUUUUCUUUUUAGUGGAUAGAUAAUAAAUGGAGAGAGGUUCCAUAUCACUGCUAUGGCAACUGCGAGAAUCAGAUGGGCAAUUGUUAUGUCCUGUGGCGCCGGAUUCUCUGACUAGGUUGUGGAACUUGACUUGUUGUAUCCAAGUGAAGGUAUGCAUAAACGAUGGGAUGCUGGGUAUAGAUAACAUUAACUGCAUCUACAUCAAACCAAGCUGCUUUUGUUCUUAGCAUCCGAGAAGAAAACUUGCAGAUGAUACACAGGACACACUUCACACUUCUGUGUUUCCUAGCACACAUGUCAAGGGCAAUGGCCGUGUAUGCUUCACAAUGUGGUGCCAACUUAAGGGUUAAACUCAUCUGGAUUAACGCUAGGUGUCCACGUCAGCCAGGAGUACUGAAUGCGGCUACUAUGUGAUGAAGUUCAUGAAGGAGAUAGCUUACGAAGGAGUUGAAAUACUUGACAAUGAUAAUGUUGGGAAAGGAGUAGAGGAAUACUCAGCUGCGGAUAUGGAUGGCAUUCGUGAAGAUUGGUCGACUUAUGUGGUUAACUCUAUUUUUAAGUUAUAAAUCGUAUUUUAGGUGUUGAUAAUGUAAUGACAAACAAUUCUUUUUUUUUUGUUAACAUUAAAAUAUUUGUAGUAUACUUAACAAAUGAUUA